CUCUUCCAUGACUUCAGUGGCCUGGGUGAGCAGGUGCCUCAGAAGGCAAGCAGCAGCUGACAGGCACUUUUCUGAGCUGCCAAACUUGCAGGAGAAACCCCCAAAACAGCCAAACCGGCAGGAGAAACCACUUCAGAUAAUGAAUUCAAGGGAAGAUGUGAGAGCAACACCUUCGGGCCCCUGCACGAUGGUGCUCUGCACAAAGCCCCCCAGGAAUGGACCAGCACAAGGAGUCCCAACCUUGCAGAGAUGCCAGCCCAGAAGGGCAGUGUCCAUGUGAGCCUCUUUCCCCCUCUCUAGAGCCGUCACCAAGCCUGUCCUCAGUGUGUCGGCGUGGUGAGGUGUCCAGUCCCAUGAGCUGGUGAAGGCAGAGGGAGCCUGAGCACAGAGCAGCGGUGGCAGCAGAGUGUGGUGCAACAGGGAAAACAUUGAGGUCCAGGAGGAAUGGUGUGGAAAACUUGGUACUUCCAGAGAUGUUUUAUAUUGCAAAAGUGGGAUGGAGUCCCGCAGCGCACCUUUUACACAGCAGCGACGGGGUUCUGCUCCGUCUGGCUGGGUGGAUAAUGGCCAUAUUCACCAGUGCAUUUUUCCAGCAGAUCUGACAGCUAAUCUAAGGAAUGACGCUGCAGUAAGAGUCUUCAGAUAAAUGGAAAGAAAGAAAAAGAGAACAGGAAACCUCACCGAGCCCAGGGGAGCCCCCACUGCCUGGUUUUCUCCAGGAGGCGCAGAGCAGAUCAGGGUGUUGGUCCUGAAACCCAGCACGCUGGGAAGGAACAAAGCCUUAAUUAUAACCUGAGCAUGAUGCCUGGUUACACCAGGGUAUGUUAUUUUUAAUCGUUAGGGCUCCAAGGGUUUGAGAACUUGGUCUUAGUCACUGAGAUUUUCAGUGGUUUGGGGGCAACCUCGGAGAUCCCAGCAUGCAUGGGGUUGGGAAGGAGCAUGGCCAAGGUGCAGCCUCAUCCCUGGGGUGUCCACCCAACAAUGUAAACAUUCCUCUGUGUGGACAUCUAGUAAAACAAAACAAAACCUUGCCCAACACCACAGGGGGGUGAUGUGAGUUGUGUUGAACUGAAGGCUGGAAGGUGCUCAGCAUCCCGGGCAGUGCAGGUGAUAACCAGUGCAACGUGCAGACACAAUUCAGCUCCGGAGAGGAAUAAGAUCUUACCGUGGCCUCUCCACAACAGAAGAAGGCACCAGCAAUUUUACAUCCACGUGCAGACCUGAUCUGCAAGAUGCCAAAUAUUUUAAUGCAGCUUAUGGAGUCCCAUGGAUGCCUCCUUUUUUCCUU